CCGCGACCGAACCGCGACCGAACCGCGACCGGCCGCGGGGCUCGAGCCGAGGCUUCCACCGCGAGGCGCGGGCGGCGCCGCGGGGCUCGCGUCCCGCUCCCGGAGCCCCGGGUAUCAAUCACCCCGCCGCUAAAUGCGUCCUCCGGCCCGCAGAAUAAACCUUUUUUUGUGAGCCCAACCCAAUUCAGGGGUCCUAAAGUAACAAAUUGCCUGGGAAUAUGUUAACACGUGUAGCAACUUGAGCCAGCUCCUUAAUACUGCGCUGGUGUUUAGGAGUUUUAUUCCCGAAUUUCGGUGGCAAAAGGGGUUUUUAAUGCUUUUCCUGUUGCUUCCCAGCUGCUCGCUCCAAGCUGGCUCCAGCGUUUUGCUCAGGAGCGCAAAGGAUGUUUGAAGGAAAGCGGGGAGGAAAACGGGCAGAUUAAAGCGCUUUGGGCAGCUUCGCCAGCCGGAGAUCCCGCAGGGAAUGUUUCAGGCCUCAAGGAAGGAAGCUGAGCCUGGAUGCAGAGCCCAGCAGAGGGCACGGCAGCCCCACGCAGGACCUGCAGAGCCGCCCGUCAAUCCCUUCUUCAUCCUGCCGGGACAGAAGGAGAAGGAUUUUCGGGCUGCCAAAUGAUUUGUAACGCCUGUGGUUGGAUUUUCGUGAGCUGGGGACUGUGUCCGUGGGGUGGGAGCGAUCGCUGCACAUCCAAGUCCCCGUAAGCUGUGCAGCUGGAAGAGUUGAUCCCAAACACAGGAUAACUAAUGUGGAAUUACGUGAGCUGGUUCUCUCUUCCACAGUGUUGAUAUGCAGACUAUCACGAUCUCUGAAACAUCAAUAACAAAAUACGUGAAUAAAUUAAACUUUAAUUAAAAUAAUGCCA